CAGGAGAAAUGUUCUGCAUGUUCGGAGACACCAUUGUGGAAAGAAGUGUGGUUACGCGUCUUCAGUGGUGUCAAGGCUAUGCUUCUGGGCUGAGGUUGGCUCUGUUGGCUAAUGCACACCACCCUCCCUCAGAGUUAGUCGGCGAUGACAUUAAGACCGUUUCUGUGCCAUCGAUGAAGAGGCAACACUGAGUAACGCUGGUGUGUGUGUCUGUCCUGGACUGGGUUCUUGAGAAGAGGCAGUGUGUGUAACUCUGGUGUGUGUGUCUGUCCUGGACUGGGUUCUUGUUUCGGUGACUCCUGCCCUGUGGGAUGAAGAGGAUGCUGGGUCCCCUUCUCAAACUCCUGCUGGUUUUGCCGGCGGUGUCACACGGCACUGCGACGUCCUGUGACAUCAGCAGGGAUAAACCGGUUCGCUGCUAUGGAACACUGGGGCAGUCCGUUUCUAUAAAUCUGAAAACAGCCACCAAUCCAUGUUCUGGCGUACAACUUGAAAUAAAAUUCAAUGGUGAUACAUUUUUCAGAUGCAAGAAUGGUGCACCAACUCCUGAAAAAACCUGUAAUAAUCACUGUCGUUUAGACAAUCGGACUUUCAGGCUGGAGAACUUAACAAAAAGUCUUUCUGGGAUGUAUUCUUUUGAAGAGUUCGAUAAAAAUGGGACGACAGCGCAAAAGGGAAACAUAGAGCUGAUUAUUCAAGCCCCAGUGUCUCCCCCUGAACUGUCCCAGCUCUGUCAGCCCCAUGGAGAGAUUCGGGUCUGGUGCUCCAGCACAGGGGAGGCCCCCCAGUACAACUGGACUCUGAAUGACCAACCCCUGGAUGGGGGGGUGGCCUUCCUCAGCAAUGAGACCCAAACUGUCAUACUGAAGAGGGACAUACCUGGAUCUAUCACCUGUACAGUCAGUAACCACGUCAGCAAGGAAAACACCACCCAGGAACUCCUCACCUGUCGAGGACUUGGAGCCCCUGUGAAGUGCACCAAUGGGACUGAGAUUGAUGUGAGGAUGAAUGCCUCCUUAAACGCUGCAUCUCUGCUAAACAAUACAGAAAUAUUCUUUAUGGAUCGAGGGGGAGAAUACGUGUCUGCCAUUUGUAAGAUUAAUUCCUACACUCAAAAUAAGUCUUCUGAAAAUUCACAAACAACAAAUUUCACUUGUGAGUCCCAACAGCUGAUGAUUGUUUCUGUGGCACUGGCAACUUGCUUGGUUCUUCUCGCUAUCCUGUUGGUGACCUGCUGCUGCCUCUACAAAAAGAAGCAAAAACAACCAAUGGGAAGCCAGAGGAGCAAUGGCGACGGGCCGGAGGGGGACCCGCAGGAGUUGGUGUACUGCCAGGUGCAGGUGGCGAAGAAGAAGGAUCGCCCAAAGAAGCAGCAGCAGGAGCCGCAGGUGGUCUACGGGGAGGUGAAAGUGUCGGGCAGGGCGAAGGCCGCCAGGCACUCAGCCGAGGGACAGGCGGACACGGUGUACUCUGGCAUCCGCACGUAGGUCCAGCCAAUCGCAGCGACCUUCGUCAAAUUUAGACCGAAUACUCAGUUAUAAUUCAGGGGGAUUUGUCAACGGGAAGUACAACACUGGGGAAGGAUAUCUUAAAAAAAUAAAAUAAAAUAAAAGUCUCACAUUUAUUUUGGUAAUUUGAGGAACUGUCAUUUUCUUCCCAUAAAGCUUUGUGGGAGAGUUUGUGUGUUAUACAAUAUAGAUGCUGCAGAACACAAACAGAUAACUAUGUGACCAGCAGGGCUUGACAUCAACACCUACCACUGGCCAAAUGCGGAUAUAUUGGCAUUUUUUACUGGCUACUUUGGCAGGUGAGAUUUCAGUAACAUUUUAUAUGAAGAAAGAAAAUUGUACUUUCCAAAAGGAAGUAAGUGCAUCAUUCUAACCAGGUGUUCUAGUAUCGCUGCGGACUUUCCUCUAGACGCGGUAAUGUUUGAUUUUAAAUUGCUAAUUUGAACAGCAUGGGUUAGGGCUUGAGCCAGUUUGUUGUCUCUAUUGCUGUUAAUCACUUCUACUAUUUGCAUACCUGUAGAGUGAUUGAACGUUUGUCUUAAAUAGCUUAAAUAGCUGUGGAAUUUAUCAGUAGAUUAGCUUUGAUUUGAUAUUGCUUGUGAGCAAUUGUAGGUGAUUUAAAUAGGCGUGUCAGAGCGACGCUAGCGUAUAUUAGACUCGCGAAAGUUGUCCUUAGUCAGUAAAUCAUUCUAACCAGGUGUUCUAGUAUCGCUGCGGACUUCUCCUCUAGACAACAUUCCUCAAAACAUUGGUGCUAGCCUUCCAAGCAGUUAAGGGGUCUUCCCCAGCUUACCUACAAAAAAUCAUCAGACCCUACACCCCUGCCAGACCUCUUCGUUCAGCCUCCACAGGCCGCUUGGCACCUCCCCCUCUCCGAACCUCCACCUCACGCUCACGACUACUGUCUGUUCUGGCUCCACGGUGGUGGAACGAACUCCCCGUUGAGGUCAGAACUGAAGAAUCUCUCCCCACCUUCAAGCGCAAGCUGAAGACACACCUCUUCAAGCAGCACCUCUCCCCAUCCCUCCCUACCUCCCUGUGAACCUUAAUUGUUGUCUUUGUGAUUUACGUAGUGUUUCGGUAUUUUUAGUUGGCUAGGUAAGCAGUAUUUGGAUAGUUAAGUUUGGUCACUUUGGCUUUGUUGUUUGUUUGUUUAUUUGUUGAUAAAAAACUUUUUUUUUUUAAAUUAAAAAAUAGGCCCUGGUCCUUAUCUUUGUUGUAUGGGUAGCAAUUGAAAUUGUACUUCCCUCUAGGGUGUUUCAGCGCACUUACCCCUGGUUAUGGGUAUGCACUUUGUUGUACGUCGCUCUGGAUAAGAGCGUCUGCCAAAUGCCAAUAAUGUAAGUGUAAUGUAAUGGAAUCUGAAAUUAAGUCAAUUGAAUUACGGUUAUGUUCCACCGAAAACACAUCUUUGGUCUUUCCGCGCACUUAUCCCUGGUUAUGAGUAUGCACUUUGCACUUUGUUGUACAUCGCUCUGGAUAAGAGUGUCUGCCAUAUGCCAUUAAUGUAAUGUAAUGUAAUGUCUUCCAUAUGAUUUCAGAGGUACUUUCGUGAGAUAUGGAAUUGAAAACAUAAAUUCCGACAAAAUAUGUCAAUUAGCUUAUUUGCCUACUUUACUCAAGAUGGCGGAAAUGACAAAAGUCUAUAAUCUGAACCAAGUAAGAUAUAGUUAUAAUGUUCUAAAUAAGAUAUGUUUGAAGAUGUUUUGAGCCAUUUUUGCAUCACCAGACCCCAAUAGUCAUUUUUCUAGAAAUGUCAGAUUUUUCAUGAAGAAAAAUUGUGAAAUUUCCGGAUCAAACAAUGAGAUUUGUGAUGCUGUACCUGUCCCUAAAGCUUAUAACAAGAAAAUAAUUGGUUCUCCUGGAUAUGAAGUUAAGGAUUUCAAAGUUUCAUGAUGAUAGGAUGACUAUGCACUGAGAACUCCAAAGAUAGAAAUGGUAAAUAAUUAUACUAAUUCCACCAUAUACAUGGCGUAAUCACUCAGAAGGUGGCAUUAUCCUGAAAAUUGAAUAGGUGAGGGAUGAUUUGCAGCAAUAAACAGAAAAGGGUCAUUGAUUUUUUCAGUGGAACAGAACCUUAAGGCAAUUUUGCGGUGACCCUGCAUGAUACUACAACUCCCAUGAGCACUAGGUGCCAUCUCGCUCUAGCUUCUUCAGUGGGAGCAGGCGAACUUGGGUGAACACAGCGCUGCAACUUCAAAGUGUCUGUUUGUAUCCAUGGCACUGGACAGCGCAGAUUCAGAUCCUCUAGUUCCAAUCUGAAAACAUGGAAGUGACAACGAUCGCAGCACCGAACACAGAAAAAGAUAACGGUUCAGUAAAUGAGCGUGAACUUCGACCACAGACAGUCCUGUGACUUUGAGAAAUGCCCAUGAAUUCAAAGUUGCUUCAGCUUAUUUUUAAAAGGCAAAGAAAAUAAAAAAGGGAAAACAAAAAAAGAAAGAAAGUAGGCUUGUCACAGUGUCUGGUUUAAGCUGUGCAUUCAGCAGUUAUACUGCAUAAUGCCAAUACUGAUAUUUUGUAAUUGUAAUUAAAAGUAGUCAUUAAAAAAUAGUCAAAGUAAAAACAAUCAAAAAUUAAGAAAGAGUUCUGUUACUCCAUAAAGCGUCUGUAACGGCAGGAUACAGAUAAAAACAUUGUGCAUGUCACAUCAACAUUAUGUAAAAUUGUGGCUAUGGGUGUGGCAGCCUGUCGAGAAGUGGCUAAGUUAUGACUGGGUCCAGGAUGGUUGACGGUUCAAGCCCUGGUGUAGCCACGAUACGAUCCACACAGCGGUUGGGCCCUUGAGCAAGGCCCUUAACCCCGCAUUGCUCCAAGGGGGAUUUUCCCCUGCUUAGUCUAAUCAACUGUAAGUCUCUUCAGCUAAAUAACUGCAAUGUAAUGUGUGCACUUUGUUCUCUGCACUGACACAUGGAGAAUAUUCAUGGCAAAGGUCUGCAAUAUAAGUGUUUUGUAAUUGAAAUGAUUUUGAAGUGCAUUUUUUAUUUAAUGUUCUCUUUAACAAGCUAACAUGGUAGUUAAGAGUGGUGUAUAUCUUUUUUGGUUAGUGUUGGUGACUUAGCAAUUACAAUGAUUUUUAUAUACCUACAUGUCUAUUUGCCUUCAGUACAAUCUAUUUUUGUCAUGUGUAUUUUUUCUUUAAUGAUGUAUUUUAUAUUUCUUUUUUAUAUGAAUGAAGAGUAUAAUGUCUCAACUCAUGCAUGUCUCUGCAACAUUAUUUGUGAAUGUAUAUUUUAAUAAAAUGGGUUCCAACUGUUA